UCCCCGGUUGGUCUGCCGGCAGGGCCCGCUUGGCUUUGAACCAAGAUUUAGCGACGCAGGUUCGACUCCUGCCCGGGGAG
rnacentral:tRNA from 1 species